rnacentral:tRNA from 1 species
GAGGGUAUAGCUCAGUGGUAGAGUUCAUGCUUUACAUGCACGAGGUCCUGGGUUCAAUCUUCAGUACUUUCG